rnacentral:misc_RNA from 1 species
GAUGAAGAACGUAGCGAAAUGCGAUAAGUAAUGUGAAUUGCAGAAUUCCGUGAAUCAUCGAAUCUUUGAACGCAUAUUGCGCCCUCUGGUAUUCCGGAGGGCAUGCCUGUUCGAGCGUCAUUUCAACCAUCAAGCCCCAGGCUUGUGUUGGGGACCUGCGGCUGCCGCAGGCCCUGAAAACCAGUGGCGGGCUCGCUGUCACACCGGGCGUAGUAGAUUUUAUCUCGCUCAGGGCGUGCUGCGGGUUCCGGCCGUUAAAAAGCCUUUUUUACCCAAGGUUGACCUCGGAUCAGGUAGGAAGACCCGCUGAACUUAAGCAUAUCAAUAAGCGGAGGA